rnacentral:rRNA from 1 species
UACGGGGGGGGCAAGCGUUGUUCGGAAUUACUGGGCGUAAAGGGCUCGUAGGCGGCCAACUAAGUCAGACGUGAAAUCCCCAGGCUCAACCUGGGAACUGCGUCUGGUACUGGAUGGCUUGAAUUCGGGAGAGGGAUGCAGAAUUCCAGGUGUAGCGGUGAAAUGCGUAGAUAUCUGGAGGAAUACCGGUGGCGAAGGCGGCAUCCUGGACCGACAUUGACGCUGAGGAGCGAAAGCUAGGGGAGCAAACGGG